GACGAAGGUGGCAACCGUUGCUCGGAAUCACUGGGCAUAAAGCGCACGUAGGUGGCUAAGUAAGUCGGUGGUGAAAUACCUUGGCUCAACCAAGGAAGUGCCAUCGAUACUGCCAUGCUUGAGGACGGGAGGGGUGAGUGGAACUGCGAGUGUAGAGGUGAAAUUCGUAGAUAUUCGCAAGAACACCAGUGGCGAAGGCGGCUCACUGGCCCGAUACUGACGCUGAGGUGCGAAAGCGUGGGGAGCAAACAGG
rnacentral:rRNA from 1 species